rnacentral:rRNA from 1 species
AUUGAACGCUGGCGGCAUGCCUUACACAUGCAAGUCGAACGGCAGCGCGGGAGCAAUCCUGGCGGCGAGUGGCGAACGGGUGUGUACUAUAUCGGAACGUGCCCAGUAGUGGGGGAUAGCCCGGCGAAAGCCGGAUUAAUACCGCAUACCACCUACGGGUGAAAGGGGGGGAUCGCAAGACCUCUCGCUUUUGGCGCGGUCGAUAUCAGAGUAGGUAGUUGGUGGGGUAAAGGCCUACCAAGCCAGCGAUCUGUAGUUGGUCUGAGCGGACGACCAGACACACUGGGACUGAGACACGGCCCAGACUCCUACGGGAGGCAGCAGUGGGGAAUUUUGGACAAUGGGCGCAAGCCUGAUCCAGCAAUGCCGCGUGCAGGAAGAAGGCCUUCGGGUUGUAAACUGCUUUUGUCAGGGAAGAAAUCAUCUAGGCUAAUACCUUGGGGGGAUGACGGUACCUGAAGAAUAAGCACCGGCUAACUACGUGCCAGCCGCCGCCGUAA